GCGACGUGUUCGACGCGCACGACACCGAGGACUGCCCGCGCCAGGCCGCCGGCACGCCGCCCGACGCCCCGCCGCCCGCCGCCGGCAAGAAACCGCCGCCACCACCCCGGCCCUACUGCGACAUCUGUGAAGUGUUCGGGCACGCGACGGAGAACUGUGAUGAGGAGGAGACGUUUUAACACAUAAUUUAUUGCACCUAGCUUUAAUGUUACCGUUGUUGUUAAUCCUUACGUGGGAAUUAUUUAUUCAUUAUCGUUUACCAACUUUUUUGGUACGACUUGUUUACUUGUUAAAUGUUUAACUGAUAUUUGUAAAUAAAGCAUUGAUCUUUAAUAUUUAAGCUAUAGUUGCAUGAUAUUUUAAUAUUACAAGGUGAAUGGUACUUUUUCGUGUGCAUUAUCUGGUUUAUAAUGCACAUAGAGAUAUGUUCAUGGCACAUUUUAAAUAAUUUCCAUCACAAUCAUGAUUAUUAUAUUCUUCAUAGACUAAUAACUUUUAUUGUUGUUUUAUGGAGAUAUAGAAAAGAAACACCAAAUUUAAGAUUUUGUAUAAGCAAUAAAUUAAUAAUGAAUUUUA